UGCUUGCUUCGGGAGCACAAACUAAGAAUUGGAACAAUACAGAGAAGAUUAGUAUGCCCCCUGUGCAAGGAUGACAUGCAAAUUCAUAAGGUGUUCCAUAUCAAG